UGGUAUCUAAAUUAAUCUGGAGACAUGUCAGAUUACUGUAGUUUGUUCAGUCAAACAUUUCAUGGCUAACUAUUAAGCUAUCUUGCCAUGACCGAUGUAACACCGCAACCAAAAAAGACUUGUCAAAUUAGCCAAAUCAUUACUGUACCAUGAAUGCUCCUAUCUCCGACACACACACAAAAAAUAACUCUUGCACGCCUUGCGUGCCUAUGUUUUGCCCUAGAACGUAUAUUGUCCCAUCGCAACACAGACUCAUCUGGCUACAGUAAUUUGCAUAUCGAUGGUAGGGAGGUAAUCAUCGUUUGGAAUGUAGGAAGUUUGACCUGCAGCGGUGGUUAUUUUAUUUCCAAGCGUUUGCGGUGCAUGAAAAUUGGUUACAGGUGGUGAACUUUGUGGAGCUUGACAAGCCAUCUGUUAAGUUUUUUACUCACCUUUUUGGUCAGCUUUUGUCAGGCUAUUCAACGGAGAUAACAAGAAAUAUUUUUGAAAGAAUUUCUGCAGUAAAGGAGCUUUCAUUCUUUCGCCAAAGCCUUCGAAUUUUCAUCAAACACUUUGUUGCAAAAUCGACAUGGACUGAUAUGAACGAAAGACUUAAUCUUGUAGAUGGUAUUCUUGGAGCUUCAGACACCACCAAACUUUAGAUACAUUUGCGGAAUGGACGAAAAUUUACUGACUUUACAUCCUACUAGGAAGUAGUAUAAUUUUUAUGUUAAGAUGACGUCAUCUGUGAUAUUGGAGCAUCUCGUCAUGCGUUGUGUCCACUAAGAGGCCUUUUUUAAUUUAGUUGUCAGUUGUGAUAAAAUUUGUCAGGCUGGCUCGUCUCCCUAACUGCUACUAUUGCAAUGUAGUAUGGGAAAAAGUGACGGGUUAGAUCAACGUCCAUCAUGGCAAAGAUGUUUGUUCUCAAAUGUUUAUUUUUGAGCUGAGCAAACAUUUAAUACUGGAAAAAAAAAACUUCUUCUGUUGGGCAAAUUCCUUUGUUCAGAAGAUUAAUAUUUCACGGAACAACUAUUGCUGUACUGACAAAUAUAUAUGAAUUGUACAGUUGCAGUUGCAAAGCAAAUCAAAAACAUCUAGGUAGAAAGUAUUCAGCGGAACAAGGAGGCUGGAAGGCGUCCAUUAAAAUUCAUCAUUUGCGCGUGCAUGUAGACUCGUAGCCGAAACUAUUAGUCACCAGCAAGUAAGGAAGCCGAAAUUCAUGAACUUCAACAGUUCGUUCGGUUGCACUGACUUGAAGUUAACUAAAACUAAUUAGUAGAAUUCCACUCGUAUACUGAUACAAGUGCUGCAAUCUGAUUGCCUGAACUACUCCUACACUAUCAGACAUUAGUAGCCACUCAGCUGUGUUCUAUUAAAAAUCCGCGAAUCAGAUUG